GUUUAUUAAAAGAAGUGCAUGGGAUUAGUAAAAUAAUAUAUAGUAUUAGGAGGAGUUCCUACUUGUUACUUAAUAUUAUUGUCUCUUAAAUACAUACACACAAAAACGUCUUUAUCCCUGACGGAGGAGACAGAGCCUGAGAGAGGAGAAUGACCUUGAAAAGAGUAACCCUGUAAAGGAACGUUCAGCUGUAUGGCUUAAUGAUGGAAUUGAGAUUCAAUUAGUGAAAGUUUCAGCGCCCAAAAGAAGAACAGCAAGGUUGUGGCCUCUUAGUCUUCUCGAGACUGUUGGCUCUGUCUUCACAUUAAGGAAAAAAACGUUAGGAACAUUGAGAAGAAACCUGCAUAUUCAUUCAACUGGAUGUGUAGCCGUGAUCCGAUAUGGGUUUCGAGUACCAAUUUACCCAAAUCCAGGGUGGUGGAUAAUAGACCCAGUCUUUCGAAUAGCAUAACGCCAGGAACGAUCAUGUUAAAAAAGUCACGACAACAGAUAUAUUCAGUGCCUAGGUAUGUA